AGCGGUGGAUGAUGUGGUUNAAUUCGAUGCAACGCGAAAAACCUUACCUACCCUUGACAUGCCUGGAAUCCUGCAGAGAUGUGGGAGUGCUCGAAAGAGAACCAGGACACAGGUGCUGCAUGGCCGUCGUCAGCUCGUGUCGUGAGAUGUUGGGUUAAGUCCCGCAACGAGCGCAACCCUUGUCAUUAGUUGCUACGAAAGGGCACUCUAAUGAGACUGCCGGUGACAAACCGGAGGAAGGUGGGGAUGACGUCAGGUCCUCAUGGCCCUUAUGNGUAGGGCUACACACGUCAUACAAUGGCCGGUACAGAGGGCUGCCAACCCGCGAGGGGGAGCUAAUCCCAGAAAACCGGUCGUAGUCCGGAUCGCAGUNNGCAACUCGACUGCGUGAAGUCGGAAUCGCUAGUAAUCGCGGAUCAGCUUGCCGCGGUGAAUACGUUCCCGGGUCUUGUACACACCGCCCGUCACACCAUGGGAGCGGGUUCUGCCAGAAGUAGUUAGCCUAACCGCAAGGAGGGCGAUUACCACGGCAGGGUUCGUGACUGGGGUGAAGUCGUAACAAGGUAGCCGUAUCGGAAGGUGCGGCUGGAUCACCUCCUU
rnacentral:rRNA from 1 species